rnacentral:misc_RNA from 1 species
GUACCCUCAAGCUCUGCUUGGUGUUGGGUGUUUGUCCUCUCCUUUGCGAUUGGACUCGCCUUAAAAUAAUUGGCAGCCAGUGUUUUGGUAUUGAAGCGCAGCACAAUUUGCGAUUCUAUCCGGUAAUACUGGCGUCCAUAAGCCUAUUUUACAC